rnacentral:misc_RNA from 1 species
ACGAGUACUGUAGGUAGAGUGAGCUGGUCAUAAUACCUAUUUGUAAUAUCGAACAAGUCACUCAUACUAACUGGAACUAUCAUAAAAUAUAUGUAUGAAGUUGAUAUAAAGUUAA